rnacentral:rRNA from 1 species
UACUCGAGUGGCGAACGGGUGAGUAACACGUGGGUGAUCUGCCCUGCACUCUGGGAUAAGCCUGGGAAACUGGGUCUAAUACCGGAUAGGACCAUGCUUUAGUGUGUGUGGUGGAAAGUUUUUUCGGUGUAGGAUGAGCCCGCGGCCUAUCAGCUUGUUGGUGGGGUAAUGGCCUACCAAGGCGGCGACGGGUAGCCGGGCUGAGAGGUUGGUCGGCCACAUUGGGACUGAGAUACGGCCCAG